rnacentral:rRNA from 1 species
GCAAUAGCUGAUUGCAUUUAAUUUAAUGUAGUUACUACUUGGUAGUUUAAAAUUCUAGGUAGAAUUAUGAUGAUGACAUUAUCUGUCUAUUAGUCUUGACCAAAUUACGUGCCAGCAGUCGCGGUAAUACGUAGAAGACAAGUGUUAUUCAUCUUUAUUAGGUUUAAAGCGUACCAAGACGGUUAAUAAAGCCCAAAAGAAAUGAAUACGGGGGACACAUUAACUAGAGUUAUAUGAAAGGAAGCUAUUAGGUACUGUUGAGUGUAGGGAUGAAAUUCUAUUAUACCAGAUGAUUGGCACAGAUUAAUGCGAAGGCGUCUUCUUAUGUAAUAACUGACGUUGUAGGACGAAGGCUUAGGAAGUGAACAGGAUUAGGUACCCCAGUAAUCUAGGCAGAAAAUGAUGAAUGUCAUAGGUUGAAUACAGACGGUUAUAAUAAAAAGCCAACUGUAUAUUGGUGAUAUAAUCAGUCUAUUAUUGUGUCUAUAAAUGAAAGUGUAAGCAUUCCACCUCAAGAGUAAUUUGGCAACAUUGGAACUGAAAUCAUUAGACCGUUUCUGAAACCAGUAGUGAAGUAUGUUGUUUAAUUAGAUGAUACACAAGAACCUUACCACACUUUGAAUAUAUAUAUAAAAUAUAUUUACAAGCGCUGCACGGCUGUCUACAGUUAAUGUCGUGAGGCUUUGGUUAGCUCCAGUAAAUUAACGUAAACCCUAAUUUUAUUUAUAAAUAAAAU